rnacentral:ncRNA from 2 species
GUCGAAAUCCGCUAAGGAGUGUG